UCAGGAACACAGCUAUAGGAACUGGGUCGUGCAGUUUUAUCAGAUCAGGAAUGAUUCAGACUAUGAUCUGGGCAGGAUACGUUUUACAGUGCAGGGAGACUUGUAGUCGACUGGAGUCGUUAUUUCUCAGAACAGAAAUUUAUCUGAGGGACGAGAUAUAACAAUGGCUUUAGUGGCGGACUGGUGAGUAACACGUAAGAAACCUGCCUAUUAGAGGGGAAUAACAACGAGAAAUCGUUGCUAAUACCGCAUAAGCUAGUAGUACCGCAUGGUACAGCUAGAAAAGGAGAAAUCCGCUAAUAGAUGGUCUUGCGUCCGAUUAGCUAGUUGGUGGGGUAACGGCCUACCAAGGCAACGAUCGGUAGCCGAGCUGAGAGGCUCAACGGCCGCAUUGGGACUGAGAUACGGCCCAGACUCCUACGGGAGGCAGCAGUCGGGAAUAUUGCGCAAUGGAGGAAACUCUGACGCAGUGACGCCGCGUAUAGGAAGAAGGUUUUCGGAUUGUAAACUAUUUUAGACAGGGAAGAAAUUGACAGUACCUGUAGAAUAAGCUCCGGCUAACUACGUGCCAGCAGCCGCGGUAAUACGUAGGGAGCAAGCGUUAUCCGGAUUUAUUGGGUGUAAAGGGUGCGUAGACGGGAGAACAGGUUAGUUGUGAAAGCCCUCGGCUUAACUGAGGAACUGCAACUAAAACUAUUUUUCUUGAGUGCAGGAGAGGAAAGCGGAAUUCCUAGUGUAGCGGUGAAAUGCGUAGAUAUUAGGAGGAACACCAGUGGCGAAGGCGGCUUUCUGGACUGUAACUGACGUUGAGGCACGAAAGUGUGGGGAGCAAACAGGAUUAGAUACCCUGGUAGUCCACACCGUA
rnacentral:rRNA from 1 species